rnacentral:tRNA from 1 species
CGCGGGCACCACUUGCUAGCGGUCUUCGUUCGGGACGAAGAGGUCGUGGGUUCAAAUCCCGCCACCCCGA